rnacentral:lncRNA from 1 species
UGCUGAUGCUCUAAGAGUCUGAUACAGGGCAAGCUUGCAUAUCUCUGCUGAUGCUCUAAGAGUCUGAUACAGGGCAAGCUUGCAUAUCUCUGCUGAUGCUCUAAGAGUCUGAUACAGGGCAAGCUUGCAUAUCUCUGCUGAUGCUCUCAGAGUCUGACACAGGGCAAGCUUGCACAUCUCUGCUGAUGCUCUCAGAGUCUGAUACAGGGCAAGCUUGCAUAUCUCUGCUGAUGCUCUCAGAGUCUGACACAGGGCAAGCUUGCAUAUCUCUGCUGAUGCUCUAAAAUUGAACAGGGCAAAACCAAUUCUCUGCUGAUGUUUUAAAAGAGUCUGACACAGGGCAAGCUUGCAUCUCUCUGCUGAUGCUCUCAGAGUCUGACACAGGGCAAGCUUGCACAUCUCUGCUGAUGCUCUCAGAGUCUGACACAGGGCAAGCUUGCAUAUCUCUGCUGAUGCUCUCAGAGUCUGACACAGGGCAAGCUUGCAUAUCUCUGAUGCUUCCCGA